rnacentral:rRNA from 1 species
AGAGUUUGAUCAUGGCUCAGGAUGAACGCUGGCGGCGUGCUUAACACAUGCAAGUCGAACGAUGACCCGGUGCUUGCACCGGUGAUUAGUGGCGAACGGGUGAGUAACACGUGAGUAACCUGCCCUUAACUCUGGGAUAAGCCUGGGAAACUGGGUCUAAUACCGGAUAUGACUCCUCAUCGCAUGGUGGGGGGUGGAAAGCUUUAUUGUGGUUUUGGAUGGACUCGCGGCCUAUCAGCUUGUUGGUGAGGUAAUGGCUCACCAAGGCGACGACGGGUAGCCGGCCUGAGAGGGUGACCGGCCACACUGGGACUGAGACACGGCCCAGACUCCUACGGGAGGCAGCAGUGGGGAAUAUUGCACAAUGGGCGAAAGCCUGAUGCAGCGACGCCGCGUGAGGGAUGACGGCCUUCGGGUUGUAAACCUCUUUCAGUAGGGAAGAAGCGAAAGUGACGGUACCUGCAGAAGAAGCGCCGGCUAACUACGUGCCAGCAGCCGCGGUAAUACGUAGGGCGCAAGCGUUAUCCGGAAUUAUUGGGCGUAAAGAGCUCGUAGGCGGUUUGUCGCGUCUGCCGUGAAAGUCCGGGGCUCAACUCCGGAUCUGCGGUGGGUACGGGCAGACUAGAGUGAUGUAGGGGAGACUGGAAUUCCUGGUGUAGCGGUGAAAUGCGCAGAUAUCAGGAGGAACACCGAUGGCGAA